rnacentral:rRNA from 1 species
CGAGGGGCAGCAUGAACUUAGCUUGCUAAGUUUGAUGGCGACCGGCGCACGGGUGAGUAACACGUAUCCAACCUGCCGAUGACUCGGGGAUAGCCUUUCGAAAGAAAGAUUAAUACCCGAUGGCAUAAUUCUUCCGCAUGGUAGAAUUAUUAAAGAAUUUCGGUCAUCGAUGGGGAUGCGUUCCAUUAGGUUGUUGGCGGGGUAACGGCCCACCAAGCCUUCGAUGGAUAGGGGUUCUGAGAGGAAGGUCCCCCACAUUGGAACUGAGACACGGUCCAAACUCCUACGGGAGGCAGCAGUGAGGAAUAUUGGUCAAUGGACGAGAGUCUGAACCAGCCAAGUAGCGUGAAGGAUGACUGCCCUAUGGGUUGUAAACUUCUUUUAUACGGGAAUAAAGUGAGGCACGUGUGCCUUUUUGUAUGUACCGUAUGAAUAAGGAUCGGCUAACUCCGUGCCAGCAGCCGCGGUAAUACGGAGGAUCCGAGCGUUAUCCGGAUUUAUUGGGUUUAAAGGGAGCGUAGGCGGACGCUUAAGUCAGUUGUGAAAGUUUGCGGCUCAACCGUAAAAUUGCAGUUGAUACUGGGUGUCUUGAGUACAGUAGAGGCAGGCGGAAUUCGUGGUGUAGCGGUGAAAUGCUUAGAUAUCACGAAGAACUCCGAUUGCGAAGGCAGCCUGCUGGACUGUAACUGACGCUGAUGCUCGAAAGUGUGGGUAUCAAACAGGAUUAGAUACCCUGGUAGUCCACACAGUAAACGAUGAAUACUCGCUGUUUGCGAUAUACAGUAAGCGGCCAAGCGAAAGCGUUAAGUAU